rnacentral:rRNA from 1 species
UUGACCUCGGAUCAGGUAGGGAUACCCGCUGAACUUAAGCAUAUCAAUAAGCGGAGGAAAAGAAACCAACAGGGAUUGCCCCAGUAACGGCGAGUGAAGCGGCAAGAGCUCAAAUUUGAAAGCUGGCUCCUUCGGGGUCCGCAUUGUAAUUUGCAGAGGAUGCUUCGGGAGCGGUCCCCAUCUAAGUGCCCUGGAACGGGACGUCAUAGAGGGUGAGAAUCCCGUAUGGGAUGGGGUGUCCGCGCCCGUGUGAAGCUCCUUCGACGAGUCGAGUUGUUUGGGAAUGCAGCUCUAAAUGGGUGGUAAAUUUCAUCUAAAGCUAAAUAUUGGCCGGAGACCGAUAGCGCACAAGUAGAGUGAUCGAAAGAUGAAAAGCACUUUGAAAAGAGAGUUAAAAAGCACGUGAAAUUGUUGAAAGGGAAGCGCUUGCGACCAGACUCGCUCGCGGGGUUCAGCCGGCAUUCGUGCCGGUGUAUUUCCCCGCGGGCGGGCCAGCGUCGGUUUGGGCGGUCGGUCAAAGGCCCUCGGAAGGUAACGCCCCCAGGGGCGUCUUAUAGCCGAGGGUGCAAUGCGACCUGCCUAGACCGAGGAACGCGCUUCGGCUCGGACGCUGGCAUAAUGGUCGUAAGCGA